GAGCCUAAAAACUCCUCCGAACAUAACAAGCCUGGUCCUGACUUUAAAAUCAAUUGUUUCUUAACCUACACAUGCAAGUCUCCUCGACCCUGUGAGUACGCCCCCCACCCCUUACACGGAGUAUAAGGGUCGGUAUAAGGCACAUCAACCCGCCCAAAACACCUAGCAAUAGCCACACCCACAAGGGAAACAGCAGUGAUCAAUAUUAGUUAUAAGUGUCAACUUGAACUAGUUAAAGAAAUACAGGGCCGGCAAAGUUAGUGCCAGCCGCCGCGGUUACACUAUAGGCCUAAGUUGAUUUUCUAUCGGCGUAAAGCGUGGUUAAAGCGUCAAUAAAUUAGAAUUAAAUUCUGAACUACGCAGUGGAAUGCCUGUUUUCGAGAAACCCAUAAACGAAAGUUAUUCUACCACCCUUGAACCCACGAUAGCCAGGAUACAAACUAGGAUUAGAUACCCUACUAUGCCUGGCCCUAAACCUUAAAUUACCCCCUAAAU
rnacentral:rRNA from 1 species